rnacentral:rRNA from 1 species
UUGGAGGGCAAGUCUGGUGCCAGCGGCCGCGGUAAUUCCAGCUCCAAUAGCGUAUAUUAAAGUUGUUGCAGUUAAAAAGCUCGUAGUUGAAUUUCGGGAUCAAAUUGUCGGUCGUGCCUCGGUACGCACUGGUAUUAUUGGUUCCUACCUUCUGAAGAACCGCGAUGUCAUUAAUUUGGUGUCGUGGGGAAUCAGGACUGUUACUUUGAAAAAAUUAGAGUGUUUAAAGCAGGCUUACGCUUGAAUACAUUAGCAUGGAAUAAUGAAAUAGGACGUUUGAUUCUAUUUUGUUGGUUUCUAGGAUUGACGUAAUGAUUAAUAGGGAUAGUUGGGGGCAUUAGUAUUCAAUUGUCAGAGGUGAAAUUCUUGGAUUUAUUGAAGACUAACUACUGCGAAAGCAUUUGCCAAGGAUGUUUUCAUUAAUCAAGAACGAAAGUUAGGGAAUCGAAGACGAUCAGAUACCGUCGUAGUCUUAACCAUAAACUAUGCCGACUAGGGAUCGGAUGAUGUUAAUUUUUUAAUGACUCAUUCGGCGCCUUACGGGAAACCAAAGUGUUUGGGUUC